UACGUAGGGGGCUAGCGUUGUCCGGAAUCAUUGGGCGUAAAGAGCGUGUAGGCGGUCCGGUAAGUCCGCUGUGAAAGUCGGGGGGCUCAACCCUCGAAUGCCGGUGGAUACUGUCGGGCUAGAGUGCGGAAGAGGCGAGUGGAAUUCCUGGUGUAGCGGUGAAAUGCGCAGAUAUCAGGAAGAACACCAAUGGCGAAGGCAGCUCUCUGGGACGGUACUGACGCUGAGACGCGAAAGCGUGGGGAGCGAACAGG
rnacentral:rRNA from 1 species